AUUACCGCGGCUGCUGGCACGGAGUUAGCCGGGGUUUCUUUACCUGCUACUGUCAUUAUCAUCACAGGCGAAAGAGCUUUACGACCCUAAGGCCUUCAUCACUCACGCGGCAUGGCUAGAUCAGGCUUGCGCCCAUUGUCUAAGAUUCCCCACUGCUGCCUCCCGUAGGCC
rnacentral:rRNA from 1 species